rnacentral:lncRNA from 1 species
CUGGCUUUGUACGUAUCAGUUCAAGCUUGAAUUUGACCUGUCAGCUUCCUCUAUACAGAAUGUUAGCCACUUUGACCUAAACCUGCUGAUUUAAUUCUUAGCUCUUGCCUACCUGCACAUGUUGGAUUAUCUUUUAGUUAGAAAAAGAAACAGGAAAUCACAUACUCAUGUAAACUAUGUAAUUGAGCACAUGCAAUGCUAUAGAGUGAGGAGAGGGAGGACAGUGGCUUUUUCUCCUCAUUUUCUGUUCCUAGACCCCACAACAGAUGAUCUCAUCAUACAGGUCUUCUACUCCUUAAGAUAGACAAGAUUGAUGAAAGACUGGAAAUGACUUUGCCUGGACCAUGAUUCAGCGACACUGUCCCUGUGGCAAGACUAUUGGCCAGGCUCAAACGCAGUGGCUGAUCCUCACUGACUCCUCUUCCUAAGGUUGUUGUACUAGGAGCAUCUCCUAACACUACACGGACACAAUUCAAUGACAAAAAUCAGAGAAGGUCUACAGACUGUACAAGAAACAUGGAAUCAGCAUCUCUAUCUGAUGAAGGCCUUAGGAAUCUUCCACUCAUGGAGGAAGGUGAAGGGGAGGCAGGAAAACAAAACAAAACUUCUGGAAUGCCUCUUCAUCUGUACUGUAUCCUUGACAGAAUUCCUAUUGAGUGGUUUUCAUAUUUAACAACAGAUCCAAUUUUGUCAAAUAAAUUCUUACAUGGAACUCCAAUCCGUUGAAUUAGAAGAAAAGUUAGUAUAAGUUAUUUCAAGUUUAAUAGUUUUAGUUGUUAAUUUAUUUCUUAAUUUUGUCUUUCAGGGCACAGUGUUGAGAAAUCAUUUACACAGACAAAAAAUUGCAACUGAUUUUUAACUAUUUCUGCGUGCUAUCUUCCUACAUUUUCCAAUUAAAUUCUGAUAGUUCGACAAGAACUGAUUUCUAUUUUUCAAAAUUAUAUCACUAACUUACCAAUAUUCAACUAGUGCUUGCUUUCAAUGAUUGGUUAAUAUUGGCUCUGAAAACGUUCCUUUGCCAACAUAAAUGUUCAUUAAGAAUUUUUCAAAAAUGUCAAAAAAAUACCACCUCAGUUUCAACUAUGAAGUAACAAUUUAAUAUUUCAAAACAGUCAUAUUUAUUUUUCCUUGCUGUUAAAAUCAAACUUUAGCUUCAAUUUUAAGGCGGGCAUUCUAUAUACAUUUAAAAGUAGGUAAUUUUGUGAGUGUGAAUUGGACUUACUUAGAUUACUAAAAUUAGCAGCAAAAUAUAUAACCUGUUUCCACAACAUCUGGAGUUUAAGUAUUAACACUGUAAAAUAUUAUCUGAAUUUCUCAUAUUUUAAACUAUCAUAUGGACAAUAGAACAGAUUCCACUAUAAAAAUAAUUUUUAAAUCACUUCAAGUAGGAUUACAUGUAACUCUGAAUGAAAUGCAGUUAAAACAUAAAACAUAAUAAAAAUAUAACUAGUGUAGUGUUUGCUGACAGUAUUUGCCUAGCAAAUUUCCUUAAUCAGGGAUCUUUUUAAUGAAACACAAUGAUGGUUCAUACAUAAUAAAAGUCUCAUACGUGCUUUUUUGCUUAGAUAGUUUUCAAAUUUUUAAUACAGCUUUCAUUACACUUUUGAUACCUUACUUGAUAAAAUAUUUUUAAACGCAAAUGCUUAAACACUGUAAAUAUUUUUUCUUAAUUUUUAUGAUUACCUGGAAAAUAAUGAGAACAGUAACAUCUGAAGCCUCUUCCACCUGAAUGAUGAAGAUGUCAAAUAUUCUCAGCCUCAAAUUAAUGUGUCAAGUACAUUGGAUUUGUAUCUUUGUGUUCUUUCCUAUCUUCUUAAAAAAUUGUGCUAAUUACAUUUUCAAAAAUUGUUGUUUUUCUAACAUAUUGGUUACAAUAUCAAUAUAUGUGGCUUAAUAAAAUAGUCUCUGAGAACAUGUGCUUUUCUGAAUGUGUCAGGUGGCAGCUUGCUUUUAACAAUAUUGUAAGUUUUUAUAAUCAGAUUUAAAUUGUGUUUAUCUAAAAUAUUUAUGAACAUUGAAUUUAUGGUGAACA